GAAUUUAAACUCUUCCAGAGUAUCAAUUGGAGGGCAAGUCUGGUGCCAGCAGCCGCGGUAAUUCCAGCUCCAAUAGCGUAUAUUAAAAUUGUUGCAGUUAAAAAGCUCGUAGUUGAAUUUCNGCUGCAUUGCUUUUGCUCCUUUACGAGUCUUUGCAUUGUGGCNUAUUUCGGACUUUGUUUUACAAUGUCCGGAUGUUUACUUUGAGAAAAUUAGAGUGCUCAAAGCAGGCUUUCGCCUUGAAUAGUUUAGCAUGGAAUAAUAAAGUAGGACUUUGGUUCUAUUUUGUUGGUUUUAGGUACCAAAGUAAUGGUUAAUAGGAACAGUUGGGGGCAUUCGUAUUUAACUGUCAGAGGUGAAAUUCUUAGAUUU
rnacentral:rRNA from 1 species